GCAUGUCUGGGAGGAGAGGCUGGUGUGAAGAAGACAGGGUGUCAAGUCACACCCAGAAAUUACUGAUACAGUCCUCUUAGCCCGCUUGCACUAGGGAUCCCUGUCUGCAACUUCCUGGCUGAAAUGACAGGUGCUGACUGGAUUGGACGUCUGAUGCCGUGGUUAGUGUCUUUCAUGCUCACGGGUAACAGACUCUGAACCCGCUCCUUCCUGCUGAGCAGUUCUGAUGCUGGGCAGUCUGGUGGGAAGGAACACAAAGCAGAUGCUUAGCCAAUCAGGACGCUGCACUCAUUUGCCCACAGUAAGGAGUGGGCUGGAGAUGGCACAGUCAUGGAGGCUCCAACAGCCUCUCGAUGGUACCCUUCACCUGUCAGGUGAACGACCACCACCGUUUUGAGCCAUGACUGCUCUCUGGGAGAAGGAUGAGCUCACUAGUGACAAGAGUGGCCUUCUUUCCUUCCUUUUCCCCAAAUACUGAGAGAAGUGGGAGGCCAGCCUGCAAAUGUCACAGAAGCCUAUAAAAUGCUGAGCUCAGACGGAUGCCAGGCAUAGCUGGGGUUGCUGGGCUGAUGAGAUGGGCGACUCCAUCAUCUGCUAAGAAUCCAUUGUUCUGCAGCGGCUUGGACACAAUGGUACACUGUAGCUGUCUUCAGACGCACCAGAAGAAGGCAUCAGAUCUCAUUACAGAUAGUUGUGAGCCACCAUGUGGUUGCUGGGAUUUGAACUCAGGACCUCUGGAAGAGCAGUCAGUGCUCUUAACCAUUGAGCCAUCUCUCCAGCUCCGGGAGUGGUACUAUUAGGCGUGGCCUUAUUUGAAGAGGUGUGGCUUCAUUGGAAGAAGUGUGCUUCUGUGUGUGGGGUUUGAGGUCUCCUAUGCCCAGGUUCUGUGCAGCAUGUAAGAGAUCUUUCUCCUGGCUGCCUUUGGAUCAAGAUGUGGAACUCUCAGCUCUUCCUGCAGCACCAUGACUGCCUGGAUGCUGCCACACUUUCCACCAUGGUGAUACUGGACUAAACCUCUGAACUGUAAGCCAGCCCCAAUUAAAU
rnacentral:lncRNA from 1 species